AAUUGACUCGGAUCAGGUUAGGGAUACCCGCUGAACUUAAGCAUAUC
rnacentral:rRNA from 1 species